rnacentral:rRNA from 1 species
AACGAACGCUGGCGGCAGGCUUAACACAUGCAAGUCGAACGGGUGUAGCAAUACAUCAGUGGCAGACGGGUGAGUAACACGUGGGAACCUUCCUAGGGGUACGGAACAACUCAGGGAAACUUGAGCUAAUACCGUAUACGUCCGUGAGGAGAAAGAUUUAUCGCCCUUAGACGGGCCCGCGUCGGAUUAGGUAGUUGGUGGGGUAACGGCCUACCAAGCCUACGAUCCGUAGCUGAUCUGAGAGGAUGAUCAGCCACACUGGGACUGAGACACGGCCCAGACUCUUACGGGAGGCAGCAGUGGGGAAUCUUGGACAAUGGGCGAAAGCCUGAUCCAGCCAUGCCGCGUGAGUGAAGAAGGCCUUAGGGUUGUAAAGCUCUUUUGCCAGGGACGAUAAUGACGGUACCUGGAGAAUAAGCCCCGGCAAACUUCGUGCCAGCCGCCGCAGUAAUAC